GCCAUGUAUAGCUCACACCUGGCUCCUCCCCCAAGGAAACUGCUCUGGAUGAGGAUCCCUCCACCUUUAGUUAACUAAGCGAGGGGGAGUUUCAGGAGGAUCCUGACCCCCAGCUGGAUCCUCAGCAAGGGCUGCCUGGCUGGGAUAAGAGAGAUCACCUGCAGGGAGCGCCGGGAGCCUGCUAUUAGCUUCCCUCUCCUGCUUUCAUUGCUUUCCUUCCUUUCCUCAGCAGAGCGGAACCACCCCCCCCCCGACCCCCCCACCCCCCACCCCACCCCACCCCCCCCCCCCCCCCGUAAGCAAUUAACCCUUCGCAAGCUGAGUCACUGGACUUUCGAUAAUACAGGAUUAGACCAUUUAGCUGAAGCAACUCAAGUCUGUAAAUAUGCAUGGGUUUCUGGAGCCUUUGGCAAUGCCUUAUAUGGAUUUCCUGAAUCAUCAGCAGAACACAGAGAGUCUGGCUCUCCCCACCACCCUGCUGCUGGUGUGUAGCUGUAUCAGAGACAUUGCCUGGGAAGACCACGUGGGACCAGCUGUGUCUGAAACUCUGCUGAUUCUCAGGUGGGAUUAUGUGGGGAGCAAAAUUGUCAGGCCUGGGAUUUAAAGGACUAUUCACAUCAUGAGAGCUCUCUAG
rnacentral:lncRNA from 1 species